rnacentral:rRNA from 1 species
AAUCACUUGUCUUUUAAAUGAAGACCCGUAUGAAUGGCAAAACGAGGGCUUAACUGUCUCCUCCUCCCAGUCAAUGAAAUUGAUCUCCCCGUGCAGAAGCGGGGAUAAUUACAUAAGACGAGAAGACCCUAUGGAGCUUUAGACACAUCGACAGAUCAUGUAAAUCCCCUUAAUAAAAAGACAAANCCAAAUGAACCCUGCCGUAAUGUCUUUGGUUGGGGCGACCCCGGGAAAAUAAAAAACCCCCGAACGGAAUGAAGAAAUUUAAACUUCAUAAACAAGAGCCACAGCUCACAAAAUCAGAACCUCUGACCUAAAGAUCCGAUAUAAUCGAUCAACGGACCGAGUUACCCUAGGGAUNNCAGCGCAAUCCUCUUUAAGANCCCC